UGCCUAUAAAUAAUUCCAUUUUGCUACUGUUCAUUCACAACUCAAAAUUAAAAUCUUUCUUAUUAUUAAAAAAAUAUAUUUGCAAUAUUUUUUAGUCAUUCAAAGAGACUAUGGCUCGUUCCAUUUACAUCAUGUCAUUUCUUGUCUUGUCAAUCAACACUCUUUGUUGCCCAUGGAGUGCAAGGUCAGAAAUUCUGCAUAAAAAAAAUCGAAUUUCCCAAUAAUAUGUGUGGCGGAGACUCAAUGUAGAAAAUUGUGUAUCGAGGGGAGAAGUAUGAAGAUGGUCAUUGUUUCAUAACGCGAUGCAUAUGCAUUAAGAGAUGUGAUGCUGGAACUAUUUUGGUUCAGGAUGUUAAAGCUCUUGAAGCACAAUUGGUUUAAGAAGAGUUUUCAAGGAGUAAUUAAGUUUGAUUAUUGAUUUAGUGUCAUAUAAAAUUAAAUAAAAUAUUGCAUUUUUAAAAGGUAAAUUAUAAUGUUGUGUUAUUGGCCUAUGUUAGCCAUUUGACACAUUAAAUAAAGUUGUGACACAUCAAUCUUUGUGUAUCUUGUAUUAAGUUUAUAUGUGUUUUAAUGAAGAAAAAAAUGUCUACAAUAUGUAAGAAUGAAAUAUAUGCUACGUUCCUCUGAUUAAUUUUUUUC